rnacentral:rRNA from 1 species
AGUGAACGCUGGCGGUAGGCCUAACACAUGCAAGUCGAACGGCAGCACAGUAAGAGCUUGCUCUUACGGGUGGCGAGUGGCGGACGGGUGAGGAAUACAUCGGAAUCUACUUUUUCGUGGGGGAUAACGUAGGGAAACUUACGCUAAUACCGCAUACGACCUACGGGUGAAAGCAGGGGAUCUUCGGACCUUGCACGAUUGAAUGAGCCGAUGUCGGAUUAGCUAGUUGGCGGGGUAAAGGCCCACCAAGGCGACGAUCCGUAGCUGGCCUGAGAGGAUGAUCAGCCACACUGGAACUGAGACACGGUCCAGACUCCUACGGGAGGCAGCAGUGGGGAAUAUUGGACAAUGGGCGCAAGCCUGAUCCAGCCAUACCGCGUGGGUGAAGAAGGCCUUCGGGUUGUAAAGCCCUUUUGUUGGGAAAGAAAAGCAGCAGGUUAAUACCCCGCUGUUCUGACGGUACCCAAAGAAUAAGCACCGGCUAACUUCGUG